AAAAACUUAGUUGAGUUGAGUUGAUGAUUUUGUGCAACUUUCCCUGAAACAUUUCUUGCAUUCUUACUUUACAGAACAAACCUUGGAAAGGCUAAAACUUGUAUUGCUCAUUCGAAAUUGGCUAUGAACUGUUGAACAUCUACUAAAACUGUAGCAUUAAAAGUAAAAAAACCCAAGUUGGAUUUGUCGAGAAAGAUCAAUAACCAACUGACCUGCUUAUGUGUCAUACAUGCUGCACUUGACUGGCAAUGUUGCAGCCAUAUUGUGACAAGAAGACAAAGUCAGUUGGGUAAUUUGCUCUUCGAUUUUUUACUGGUAACUACUGUGUAUCUUACAUAUACUUGUAAAACCAAAUUCUGGCAAAACAAACAUCCUUACCCAUACAGCACCCCUCCUGGUAUAAGGAUACUCCAACAAGAAAUGACUAAAAUGGGUUUGUGAGUUCUGAUUUCGCCAGCUAAACUUGCUUCUGAAAUUGUCCUUCCAUGAAUAUGGCAACAUAUCAAGAGAUAUUAGAAGCCAAAAUAACCACCGCUGGUUUUGAUUCAUUAUCAGUUCUUUAUGCUUGAAGAACCUGGCAGUGAACUAUAUGACUUUUCAGUCGGUUCCUGCCUGCUAGGCUUGACCAGAGAUUUGUGACCAAAGUCUUGAAUGGCCCUUUGCCUGAUAUGGUUUCCCAUAAAUGCUCAGCAGUAGCACCCCUCAAAUCGUCAGAUUUUGACACAUCAACCAAAGAUAUGCUCAUAUUAUUCCUGAUGAUGCAGAGUUUCCCAUUAAGUGGAACAAGUGCAGCAGCCUCCAAUGCGCGAGAAUUCCCCAAAUGCAUCUUGCUGUCAAUAUGCUUGCUCCAAGAAUUAGUCACAUCAUCAUAAACCCUAAGUUGGCAGCCAUCCUUACAGUCCAAAGCAUAGAGGCGUCCGUUUAAGGAAGCACUUGGGUUUCUCCAGCCUGCAACCAUGCCAUCAUAAACAGGGUACCAGCUAUCAGUUUCUGGUUGGUAUACUUCACUUAGAACCUGUCGGCGAGAUCCCAGCCCCUUCAGGAACCACUUUCCCUCAUAAACAACCCCAAUAAAGGGCACCAUUGCUGUGCUCAUAUCUGAAAUGAAGGACCAUCUAUUCUUGUUAGGAUCAUAUACUUCAGCUGAUUUCAAGGAUCGAUGCCCCCCUUCAUUUUCCCCACCGGCUACAUAUAAACAGUUGUUUAUCACACAUGAACCAAAAAAAUGCCGCCGACGAAGCAUGUCUGGGGCACGGUGCCACUUAUUUGUCCUAGCACUAUAAAAUAUGACUCUUCUCAUUGAUCCUUUAAGAGGGUCUUUACCACCAAACAAGUAGAGGUUACAGCCACUGAGGACAGCACAACCAAAUCCAAGGGCUUCAGAGUAUUCCUUUGGAACAGGAGGAAGGGGCUGCCAGAGUUGGUAUACUGGGUCAAAUGCAUGCCAUGAGAUUUUUCCAUCUCGGUCUCUCUUGAUGACAUAUAUCCAUUCUUCAGCAAUUCCGAGUCUUUUCCGAAGUGAGUAGAAGAAGUUUCCAACCAAAAGACGAUACCAUCUUUUGCACACUAGCCGAAGCUUACGAUGCUCUACCCUUGGGACCCUGAUCAGGCAAGCAAUAGCAAGAUCAUCAGGGAGUCCUGGAAGCAGAGGAGAUUGGUUUCUGCUCCUGUCACCACGUGAUGGCUUGCUCCUAGUAGGAUGAAUGGAUGGUUUAAUGUCUGGUUGAAGGCAGAGCUUAGAUCCAGGGACAUAUUUUUUUGCACUGACAACCGUUUUGAGGCCUGCAUCUACUCUACAUAGACAAGCUGUGGUAUCAACCAGAGGCGGUUGUAUCGCUCUAUCCAUAGUUUCGACUUCAAGGAUUAACCAACACCUGAUUUAUAGAAAUCCCGCCUCCAAAAUCAAAGAACCCGUGUUUCAAUCAUUUAUCCCCUGCAUUAGAAACAAGCAAAUCCCAAAUGCAUACGCCUGAUCAGCACCACCAGUCCACAUCUAGAACCCAACUUCAAUAUUACAAUCUUUUUCACAAAUGUUUCAAAGCAAUUGAAUUUCAGGAGAGAUUAGCUCUCAAGCUUCGAAAUUCCACCUUCAAAGCAAAUAACCCAGCUAAAGAUAACUAAUAGUAAACCAUCUUAAAAACUGGAUAAUUCGUGAUAGCAAAUCCCUCAAAGCCAAACCAUUAUUAAAUUAUCAUCAAAACCCAGAAGAGAAUCUAUCGUGACCUUCAUGGAGAGCAGAAAAAAGAAACCAAAAUCUUAUCUUCUGAUGAAAGAACCGAAAAGAUCCAAAUGCGAGACAGCAUGAAAAUGGGGGCAAAGGGAGCACUGCAAGAGGAGGAGAUGGAGACCCUUCUUUUCAAACAUUAAAUCUUCAGUGGAGUUUAGGGCCCAUUUACCUCAACGGCACAACCUACCAAGCACAAGAGUGUGUGUCGCUCAACAAGAGAGAAAGGGUGAAACAAAAAAGCAAACCUAAACCAUUACAGGAGAAGAGGAGAAAGGCCGGGACUUGAAUGAUGACAUUUGGCUGGUUGUUUUAUUGGGGAAAUGAAGAACAGAUCACUACAAGUGUCAAAUGGAAUUGGAAGAUAGUUGUUGUUGGUUUCUUUGAUUUGAGACUUU
rnacentral:misc_RNA from 1 species